rnacentral:rRNA from 1 species
GAGUUUGAUCCUGGCUCAGGAUGAACGCUAGCGAUAGGCUUAACACAUGCAAGUCGAGGGGCAGCACGCUUUCGGGUGGUGGCGACCGGCGCACGGGUGAGUAACGCGUAUGCAACCUGCCCAUAACCUUGGGAUAGCCCUAAGAAAUUGGGAUUAAUACCGAAUGCAACAAUGGUACCGCAUGGUAUUAUUAGUUAAAGAUUUAUUGGUUAUGGAUGGGCAUGCGUUCCAUUAGAUAGUUGGUAGGGUAACGGCCUACCAAGUCAGCGAUGGAUAGGGGUUCUGAGAGGAAGGUCCCCCACACUGGUACUGAGACACGGACCAGACUCCUACGGGAGGCAGCAGUGAGGAAUAUUGGUCAAUGGGCGAGAGCCUGAACCAGCCAAAUCGCGUGAAGGAUGACUGUAUUAUGUAUUGUAAACUUCUUUUGUAAGGGAAUAAAAAUCGGGACGUGUCCCGUGUUGUAUGUACCUUUCGAAUAAGCAUCGGCUAACUCCGUGCCAGCAGCCGCGGUAAUACGGAGGAUGCGA